rnacentral:rRNA from 1 species
UAACGCGUAUGCAACUUACCUAUCAGAGGGGGAUAGCCCGGCGAAAGUCGGAUUAAUACCCCAUAAAACAGGGGUCCCGCAUGGGAAUAUUUGUUAAAGAUUCAUCGCUGAUAGAUAGGCAUGCGUUCCAUUAGGCAGUUGGCGGGGUAACGGCCCACCAAACCGACGAUGGAUAGGGGUUCUGAGAGGAAGGUCCCCCACAUUGGUACUGAGACACGGACCAAACUCCUACGGGAGGCAGCAGUGAGGAAUAUUGGUCAAUGGCCGAGAGGCUGAACCAGCCAAGUCGCGUGAAGGAAGAAGGAUCUAUGGUUUGUAAACUUCUUUUAUAGGGGAAUAAAGUGGAGGACGUGUCCUUUUUUGUAUGUACCCUAUGAAUAAGCAUCGGCUAACUCCGUGCCAGCAGCCGCGGUAAUACGGAGGAUGCGAGCGUUAUCCGGAUUUAUUGGGUUUAAAGGGUGCGUAGGUGGUGAUUUAAGUCAGCGGUGAAAGUUUGUGGCUCAACCAUAAAAUUGCCGUUGAAACUGGGUUACUUGAGUGUGUUUGAGGUAGGCGGAAUGCGUGGUGUAGCGGUGAAAUGCAUAGAUAUCACGCAGAACUCCGAUUGCGAAGGCAGCUUACUAAACCAUAACUGACACUGAAGCACGAAAGCGUGGGGGAUCAAACAGGAUUAGAUACCCUGGUAGUCCACGCAGUAAACGAUGAUUACUAGGAGU